AUGUCUCACGAACUCGCUUUUCGUUGUCGUGUCACCUCCAUUAUGGAAGCUUUGACAGCAACAGUCGUGCAAGAAAUCUGUCAAUUUAUGGGAGAAAGCUAUGCUGCUCUUCGAGUGGAAAUGUUGCAUGAACAAAAUAAAAAAGAGACAAGGAUGGAGAAGCCAGCGAACUGCCUUAAGAACGUUUCAAAACCUGUUAGCCCACCAAGUUUGGGAAACUUUCCAAUCGUGGGGCAAAUCCUCAAUAAACAAGAGGCCAACUAUCAUUGGCUAGAAGACGGUGCUGUUUUUGAAGGCCUAGCAUCACCGGUGCCAGAGACGGAGAGACGAGAGCCAUCACAGCCCGCUGGUCAGAUUACAGACACGGUACCAUGGCCAGUAUGGCUCAUCAAACAGGAGGAAAUGGCUGAUGAUGAUCUGGAAUCGGAAGGUUACGGCGAGUGGAUUCCAGAGACUCACAAGGCCAACCAGAAUAUCACAGGAGAAAGUGAUGAGGACGAGAGAAGUCCAGCCUCUGGGGGAUCCAAAGAACCUGGACUCGACGACUUCAAGAGAGAACAGAGUCCGUUGCUGGUGUCAGCUGAGGAUACUGCGACACCCAUAAAGACAAAGUAUGAAACGCGCAUGUUAAAACACACUGGGAAGCCACGUUUUCGCUGCGAUAUCUGCGGUGAGAAAUUCCAGCGUCAGAGCGGCUUGACCAGGCACCAGCGGCACAAACACAACACCGUGAAAACCUACAGUUGCACUGUGUGUGGGAAAGGGUUCACCUACAUCAAAUCCCUCAACACGCAUGAGCUCAUGCACUCUGACCUCUCUAUCCGUUCAACUAUAACUCUGGAUGAAGCCAAGGCAAGAAAAAGAGGUCUGACUGAUGAACCCACAGACAGAAAUGCAGCAGGAGAUAUGAUUAGUGCCAUCCUUCACUCAAAGCCAGGUGGAGAAAAGGUAUUCCGGGAGUAUGGGAAAACCAAAGGUCUUACGGAUAGCACACGGAGACUGAUGGUCAACAUUAUUGUGGCCGACAUGAUGGAAAACCAUGGUAGGAUCCCCCCAUCAAGUGUCCGCACCAACUACGCCCUGGGGAUUGUGACUUUAUUCCCCUACUUGAAUGAUCCAGAUUCAGAGCAUGGUUAUGAAAAAUAUUACGAUGCAGCUAGUGGGUCUGGUUACCUGACCUGGAGAAUAAAGACAGUGGGGCGCAACACGUCAUGUAAGACCAAGAAGAGAACCAAGCCCACCUAUCAAAAUGGUCCCAAGGCUCAGCGAAGUUGCCCUUCAGCUGUUAAGCAACUGUCGAGGGAUGAAUGCAGAGAGGCGAUAUCUGUGCUUCAGCAUACAACAACUAAUGAGUCACUGGUUCGAGAGAAGAUGAUGGCGACGUUCCAAUACAGACAGGAGGUGGUUCAUGAUCCGGAGAAGUCCUCAACUGUCCUAGAUGUCUUCCCCAGAUUCCUUGACACUACAGGCUUGAUCAACCAAGAUUUCACCAGACUUUUCGGAGAGGUGGUGUCUGGGACAUUUAUGGCGAAGUGGCCAACAUUUUUCAAACCCAGGGUCAUCGCAGAUUGCAAAACCCUUCCCUUCAGCGAACCUGUGGAAGACCUCCUCUCAUCUGCGCAGCAGGAAUCCAAUGAUUAUGGAUGGGAGAGUGACUUGGCAGCCAUUUUGUUGCUUCUGCAUCUCCUACCCCCGACCUCAAAGGGCCCAAAGACCGCAAAGAUCCGUACCUCUCAAGCUGCUGACCAUCUGGUUAGAUUUAUGAAGGUAGGGACAAGUAUGGUGACCUUCCUUGAGACAGUUAGACAUGAGCAGCAGCCCUUCCUCCUCUGUGUCGGUGAAAGGAAGAACAGCAUUCAGAAGUUUUACAUCGUCGUUGACCAGAAGGCCAUCCCAUGCAAGACCCAAACAUCAGUGGCAGCUUUUGAUGAGCUCUUUAAGGCACACUAUGUCUUCAGUGUGUCCUACCAUGAAGCGUUGUGUAACUUCUACACAUUCAUCCAGACCACCGUGUACGGUAUCGACGUGGGGAAGGCAAAGGAGUCCUCAAGAGUCAAGGAGAUUAGAGUAAGGCUGCUUAACAAAGACCAGGGGAGUGGUGCUGCCGGAGCACAAGGGAGCGGCGCUCCGGCCCUUUUCUCAAUUUGAGAAUAAGUUAGUUUAACAGCAUCUGCUCUAUUUCACUCCUGAAACAGUAACUCAAGAAGAUUUAAAUGCAUAUCCCCAUGAAGCUGAUUGAGAUCACAUGAUUGUCAUGCAGAUGCAGUCUGGACAUUUCACCGGUAAAACGCAAAGAAUUAUCAUUUACCAUUGACACUGAUGGCCUAUUUGUAAAUUAGAUAUGCCUGACUUGAUGUUUGAGGGUAUUACAAAUAUAACAUUUUAGUGAGAGUGUGGGCAGAUGGAGGAUGCAUAUUGUAUUAUAAUAUUCAAUAGGUUACAUCUGUCAGUACAAACUUUGAUUGUAAAAUUAUGUAAUUCACUUUUUUGGGGUCAGCUCCCACAUCUAACUAAACAAAUGGCACUAUACCACUGAGAAAACAUGUGAACACUUGAGAAUUUGUAAAAUACACUACAGCAGUUGUGCAUUGCUUUUUUUGACAUAAGAAAUUGUCAUGGUUUGUCAAAAUAUACUUGAAUCUGGACAGCAUAUACACUGAACAAAUAUAAAUGUAACAAUUUUACUGAGUUCAUAUAAGGAAAUCAGUCAAUUAAAAUAAAUUCAUUAGCCCCUAAUCUAUGGAUUUCACGACUGGAAAUACAGAUAUGCAUAUUUUGUUUCAGUGCGUUAAAAAAGGCUAGGGGCGUGGAUCAGAAAACCAGUCAGUAUCUGGUGUGACCACCAUUUGCCUAAUGCAGCAAGACAUCUCCUUUGCAGUGUUGAUCCGGCUGUUGAGUGUUGUCUCACUCCCCUUCAAUGGCUGUGCGAAGUUGCUGGAUAAUGGCGGGAAUUGGAACAUGCAGUCUUACGUCGAUCCAUAGCAUCCCAAACAUGCUCAAUGGGUGACGUGUCUGGAGUAUGGAAUUAUGUGCAGAUCCUUGCAACAUGGGGCCGUGCAUUAUCAUGCUGAAACAUGAGUUGAUGGUGAAGGAUUAGUGGCACAACAAUGGGCCUCAAUCUCGUCACAGUACCUUUGCAUUAAAAUUGCCGUCGAUAAAAUGCAAUUGUGUGUGUUGUCCGUAGUUUAUGCCUGCCCAUAACAUAACCCUCACUGCCACCAUAGGCCACUCUUAUCAACAUUGACAUCAAAGAACCACUCGCCCACAUGGCGCAAUACACGCCAUCUGCCUGGUUCAGUUGAAACCGGGAUUCAUCUGUGAAGAGCACAUAUCUACAGCGUACCAGUGAGCAUUUGCCCACUGAAGUCAGUUACCUCGCAGAAUUGCAGUCAGGUCAAGAACCUGGUGAGGACGAUGAGCACGCAGAUGAGCUUCCCUGAGACGGUUUCUGACAGUUUGUGCAGGAACUCUAAAGUUGUGCAAACCCACAGUUUCGUCAGCUGUCUGGGUGACUGGUUAUAGACAAUCCCACAGGUGAAGAAACUAGAUGUAGAGAUCCUGGGCUGGUGUGCUUACAUAUGGUCUGCGGUUGUGAGGCUUGUUGGAUGUACUGCCAAAUUCUCUAAAAUAAAGUGGAAGGCAGUUUAUGGUAGAUUACAUUACAUUAAAUUAUCUGGCAACAGCUCUGGUGGACAUUUCUGUAGUCAACCUGCCAAUUGCACACUCCCUCAAAACUUGAGACAUCUGCAGAAUUGGGUUGUAAUAAAACUGCACAUUUUAGAGUGGCCUUUUAUUGUCCUCAGCACAAGAUGAACCUGUAAUGAUCACGCUGUUUAAAUCAACUUUUUUGUAUGCCUCACCUGUCAAGUGUUUGGAUUAUCUUGACAAAUGAGAAAUCCUCAUUAACAGGAAUGUAAACAAAUUUGUGCACAAUUUUAGAGGAAUAAUUUCUGGGAUCUUUCAUUUCAGCUCAUGAAACACUACAUGUUACGUUUAUAUUUUUCAUUAUAAAUGAGAUUCUUCUGAUUUAAAUAAUUCGUUCUUAUUUUGUAUGUACAACACAAAUAUUGCGGGAAAAUGGAGGCCGACGAAGGUCGUCACUAGUUACCACAGCAGCAAAGUCAUAAAUCCCGCCUAUUUCUACAAUUUGUAAUUAAAAUUGUAUUUUAAUCCAAAUAUUAACUACACUGCUAACAAAUGAAGACCAAAAAGCAAAUUUCGUUUUUCAUAAUUUCUUACGAUAUAA
rnacentral:lncRNA from 8 species